UACGAAGGGGGCUAGCGUUGCUCGGAAUCACUGGGCGUAAAGCGCACGUAGGCGGAUUGUUAAGUCAGGGGUGAAAUCCUGGAGCUCAACUCCAGAACUGCCUUUGAUACUGGGGAUCUCGAGUCCGGGAGAGGUGAGUGGAACUCCGAGUGUAGAGGUGAAAUUCGUAGAUAUUCGGAAGAACACCAGUGGCGAAGGCGGCUCACUGGCCCGGUACUGACGCUGAGGUGCGAAAGCGUGGGGAGCAAACAGG
rnacentral:rRNA from 1 species